CUUUGCUGCUGCUGCCGCCAUCUUGAUCUGUGGGGGGACGUCGAGUGAGUUGCACAGCUGUGGAGUCGAUGUCCACGUGGUAUCGUGAGCACGUGGCAACAGCAGCAGCCGCAGCUUGUGUGUGUCAAGGCCACGGGAGGGCUGCUGGUUCUUGCUGGAAUUCUCACGACUGAUGACGAUUGCUUGUGUUUCGCGAAAGCUUCAAAUCUCCAAGAUAUCAAAAUGGACGAGCAGUGCAUGCAUCAGGACGGUGAGGAGCUGCAGCAGCAGCAGCAGUCUCCAAACAAUCGGAAGGCUCCUUCACUCACCAUGCAGAAUGCAGCUCAGUCUGUGCAGCAGUAUCCUCCUGCCUUGGCAGAGGCAGCAACCCAGACUUGUCAGUCUCCACAGGCUCAGCCAGUUGAGCACACCCCACAAGUGCCUAAGGUGUCCACUUCUGGCAGCAGUCAGCGAGCGAGUGGAGAGGCGGCUUCUGAUACGAACUCCCAAGGCUGCGUGAAAGUGGUGCACGACAUGCUGAUGACUGCAAGCAACUGUGGCAGCAAUUGGCCAUCCGACCAAGAAGACAUAUUUCGCCUCCUGGU